UAGCUCAGUUGGUAGAGCACUCGACUGUUAAUCGAGUUGUCACAGGUUCGAGUCCU
rnacentral:tRNA from 2 species